CGCGCCCGGCCCGGCCCGGCCCGGCCGCGUCCUGACGCCCUUCUGGUGUUGUGCCGGCGCCUCCGCACCUCCGUGCUCAAUACCAGCAACGAGGCAGCUGAGGGGGCCUUGCUGAACUCUUCCAGCAGCCCAUGAAUUCCGGCUUCGCGACAGCGCUGAGCAGUCACAGCCUCCGGUUCCGCAACCGCGGCGGUGCCCGGCCGGGGCCGCUCCGGGCACCAGCACACGGACUAUUAAAUCAAUGGAAUUCAUCGCCUCAGGAUGUAGCGAGGAGGGAGGCUUGUGAAGACUCACCAGGGAUUAGAUAUGUGUGCAGAUAGCAAGAAUAUCCAGAUCUGCAACCGGGAAACAUAUUUAAAGCACAAAAGUCCUGAUAAGACACAGAGGAAACAUCAGACUCAUCACUACUGGAGGAAAUGACAGGCAAUGCCCGAAGGCCCGAUCACUCCGUAAUUACCGGCCUCAGAGUCUCAUGUCUUCCCUUAAUUUAUCUAAGGCUGGUCACUGUCACCGACAGGAUACUGGGUUUAAGGUACGGCUUCCUAAAGCUACGCAGCUGCCCGUAAAAGCAGGUUUGCCUUUCCUGCACGCCCUUAGCCCGGUGUUCCUGCUGUGCCACAGCGGUGGUCCCAUGGGGGGAAGUGAGUCACAUCAGCCGCUUGCUGCCGGAGCAAACCCCCGAGACAUGGGGAUGAGAAAGGCGAGACCUUUCAGCAACAGCACAGCCUCACAUUAAACAUAUUUGAACUUGCACAUUUACACAUCAGUUCCCGUGGUCUCAGUAGUCAGAUACAGAUGUAACCUGGGACACCGUUAAUUAAAAGGGACCAUUAAAAGGGACUCCUUUCCCUCUUCCUUAUCCCCAUUUUGCUGGUCCCUCACGCACUCAUCUGCUGAGUGUGGCUGUUCCUAUCCCAAGCGACGACUGGGUCUGUUUUUGCCAAUAGAUGCUCUUCCUGGACCGGGUACGCCUUACAUAUUGAUAAAGUCACCUCAAAACCGGCCAAACAACUCACACUGAGAACUAAAACCAGUCAGUCAGUUUGGGAAGUGUUAAAU